UGCUGACAACACAGGGAUGGA
rnacentral:piRNA from 1 species